GAUGAAGAACGCAGCUAAAUGCGAUAAGUAAUGUGAAUUGCAGAAUUCAGUGAAUCAUCGAAUCUUUGAACGCACAUUGCGCCCCUUGGUAUUCCGGGGGGCAUGCCUCUUCCAGCGUCAUUUCACCCCUCAAGCUCUGCUUGGUUUUGGGCCGCGCCGGCAACGGCGGGCCUCGAAAAUAGUGGCGACGCCAUCGUGCUCUCAGCGUAGUAAUUCUUCUCGCUGUUGGGUCCCGGUGGUCGUCCGCCAGCAACCCCCAACUUUCUUAAGUUUGACCUGGGAUGAGGUAGGGAUACCCGCUGAACUUAAGCAUAUCAAUAAGCGGAGGA
rnacentral:misc_RNA from 1 species